UCUCUCUAUCCUAGUCAUAAGCUUUUAAAGUAAAGCAUGCCUAGUGCUCAUUCUACUGGCAUUAUUAAUGCAGAAUCAAAACAAAAAAAAAAUUUAGAAGAAACUUCAGGGUAUGGUAUGUUAUUGCACAAAAAAAUGAAAAACAAAGAUCUGCUUAGGAAAACCCUAGCUGAAGAAAGAGGAGAGGAGCCAGAGCUCCCACCCUUCAUUCUCCAAUCACAUAUAUCACUCUUCCCUUUCCUCCUCUCAUGGGGCAGAGAGAGGUCAACAGCCUUCCUCGGAGGGAGUUUCUUUCACAAAGAAACCUAAGAUGCUCCACUCCCAAAGGAAUUUUUUGCCACAUGAUUUGGGGGAACAGUGGGCUAAGCUCUAGUAAGCAAGGUCUGUCUACUCUCUUCCCUGUAGACCUAGGAGCCUCAAAUAUGCUUAUGUCAAGGGAGAUGUGGUGUACUGUUUUCUCUAAAGGCAUUUGACCAUUUAAAUUCUCUUCCCAAUUUCUAAAUUUUCUUCCCAGACCAUCCCUUCUCAAGGUUAGUAUUCCAUGGCACACACUUAACUCCUGGGUCUACAAUUAACUCAUGCUUCUCCAUCCAGACCUGGGGACCCUGUUCUCAAAGCACAGUCACUUCCCAAGAAGGAGAAAUGUGGUACUGCCUAGAGCAUGUGAGGUUUUGUUCAGGGAAGUGUCACAAAUUGUCUGGUCAGACUUAAGCCAUGUUCUUCAAUAUAACUUUAUCAGUGAUAAAGGCGAUCUUUUCAUUUCUAUCUCCUAAUUUGUUCAAAACUCAAUUGUAAUUUCUUUACUGGUCCAUGAAAAUCCCAAGACUCAUUAACCAGGGUUCCUCUGGACAUAUUUUGAAAACCCCUGCUGUAGGUUUAUGGGGGGGGGGGGAAGCGUAAUCACAGAGUUGAAAUCAAAGGAGCAAGAAGAACAAACCAAGACCUGACAGAAGUGUGGAGACCAGAGUCCUGGGGCCAUAUCCAGGGCCACAACAGUCGGAGAUUAGGGGGAGGAAGACGCUGAAGGAACAGAUAGGCUGAACAUGAUGACAGAUGGCUCUGAGGCAGAAGGCAAAACUGAAUGAGGAGGACAUCCUGGGGGCCAACUUGGAUGACUCUGUAGAUGGAAUUAUGUGGGGAGCAAUAAGGGAAGAAGGAAGGUUGUGGUCUUGAUCUGAGUUGUGUGUCCUCAACACUUGAGGAAGUGGCAAUAAGGAGGAGGAAGGAAACUGUGAGACUAGCGUGGGGCUUUUGAAAGGAAGUCCCCUCCUAGGAUUGGGGUGGGAAAAUCACUGAGACCUGUGCCAGGGGAGGCUGCCUCACUUCCAUUCCCAUCCAGACCCACAAUUUGGAAAUUAGCAUUAGUAGCUUCUUCUACAAGAAGAAUAUUCUAAUCCCGGGGCUAUUUUCUCACCCAACAUUUGUAGUUGCCUUUCUGGAGUGUAUCUGUGUCAUGUUUCCUUAAGUUAUUGCGAGGAGACCUGGAGGGGUGGUCCCCUGGGGCCUGAGAAACUGGAAAGCCUGGUUCUUUGUCCUACAGACUUCUGCAGAUAGCAAACAUGGGUAGCAUCCAUGGCUAGUGUGAUAAGACUUCUGCAUCAGCUUCAUCUCAGAGGAGCUACAAAGAUCAAAUGAGAUAACAGACAUGAAGCACCAAACACAAAAGUUGGCACAUUGUGGUUUCUGCCCACAUGUUUGAGUUCAUUUUCUGUUGCUCUAGCAUAAUACCUAAUACUAAGUAAAUUUUAAAAGAAAUUGGUUAAUUUUAGCUCAAUGUUCUGGAGGCUAGGAAGUCUGAGAUUGGGUGAUCCUAUCUGGUUAGAGCCUCAUGCUGCUUCAUAACAUGGUGGAAGUCAGAAAGGCAAGUGUACACAUGUGAAAGAGAGAAAAUCUGAGGGGUAGCCUGUCUUGAUAACAACUUGCUCACAUGUACAAAUCCAGUUCUGUGAGAUAGGUAUUAAUCCUUCUUUUUUUAAUAUUUAUUUUUUUAGUUUUUUGGCAGACACAACAUCUUUGUUUGUAUGUGGUGCUGAGGAUCAAACCCGGGCCACACGCAUGCCAGGCGAAAGUGCUACCACUUGAGCCACAUCCCCAGCCCAUUUUAAUCCUUCUUAAUGACCUAAUCACUCCUUGAGCUUCCACUUCCAAAUCUCCAUUUUUCCAUCACAAUGGAGAAUCAAAUUCAGCAUGUAUUUGGAAGAAGCCAAAACCAUAGUCCCACAGUCCUCAACUAUGCUGGGUCUCCGUAAAGAGCAUCCUGGAAUGAAACCCACCAUGCGGGCUCCAACUUGGGUCUGGCUCUUGGGGAUAAUAAACCUACUUCUGGAAGCUCAUUGUGAAGAUUCUAUGUGACAUCCUAUGUAAAGAGCCACUCGAAGUGCCUGGCACCUAGCAGUGCAUCAUGGCAGCCAUUAAGCUGUAAUUAUUAUCAUCAGUACAAAUACAUGAGACUAGAGAAGUCAGUGACUUCCAAUGUGACAGAGCAGGGCUUGGCUCCAUUCCAGAAUAUUUAAAACCAAAGGGUCACACUUUGCCCUUAAAAAACACAACACAUAUUGCUUUAUUCAUCGAUCCAUCCUUUAGAAUCUAUAAACCAUUUUUACUGUGGGCUGCGUAUCACUUUACCAGGAUAUUCAGGAAUACUUGGCAGGUUCAGGACUCAGUGUGCUUCUGGGUGUAGCAAGUUGAAUGGUGGCAUUCCAAAAGACAUGUUUGAGUUCUAAUAUCGAUAUGACCUCACUUGGGAGGUCUUUGUAGAUGUAAUUAAGUGAAGGAUCUAGAUCGUCCUGGUUAAUCAGGUGUGCCCUAUGUCCAUCAACAAGUAUCUUGUGAUAGAGAAGAGCAGACUCAUAGGAGAAGAGGUCCUACAAAGAUGGAGGUAAAGAUUGGAAUGAAGCCGCAAGAAGCCAAGUUGCACCUGAAGCCACCCAAAGUUGGAGGAAGCAAAGAAGGAGAUUCACCUAGAAGCUCAGAGGGAUUGUGACUCUGCUGACACCUUGAUUUCAGACUUCUAGCUGCUGGAACAGUGGGAGACCCGUUUCCGCUGUUGUAAACUACACAGGCUGUGGCAAUCUUUUACAACAGUCACAGGAAGCUAGUAUAUGGGGAACAGUCACACACUCAAACCAACUUUGACAACAGAAAAAUAGUGAGAGGGAUUUUCCAGGAAGACUUGAAGGUAUAUUAUGGAUUCCAACGACAGAAAUUUUGUAAGGGACGAAGCCCAGGACCUGGACAGUUGAAAAUGGUCUGGCUCCUUCAUGUGGGGACACCUGACUUCUCCUCUCUUGUCUUUCUUCCUUCUUUUUCUGCAGGCUGGCUCUCUCUGCUUCUUCAUGCAGCCAAACCUUGAACUUGACCUUCAUCACAUUCCAUUCCAAGUGCCUAACAGAGCAACAGAUGGCUCUUUGGUCUGACGCCAAAAUCUAAAGAGAGAGAGAGAGAGAGAGAGAGAGAGAGAGAGAGAGAGAGAGAGAGAGAGAGAGAGAGAGAAGAGAGAGGAGAGGAGAGGAGAGGAGAGGAGAUGAGAUCUCUCCUCUGUGGAAUAAUGAACUCUCCCCAAAGGACGAGUUCUCAGGUCUGGGGACAUUUGUCUGGGAUCAGGAGCUCACUGGCAGACACCUUUGCUUGUUUGUUCUGGAAUGGCAAGGACAGUUUUGAGAGGCAUACAACUAGUUGGCUAAACUCGCCCCUGGUGUGACAGGUCCAAGAGAAUCUAACCUCACAUCUUGCAGGAGGGAUGAUGUCCUUGGCCUUCUAACCUGUCUCCUCAAACUCUUCUCUCUGCAUCAUUUUACAGAGGGGGGAAGAGCAGCAGAAAAGCUGUCCAUUUAGAUUCUCUUCCUGCUCUAAACAUGAAGUUAAUCUACUGGAACAAAAAUCCUAUUGAUUUUUACCUAUUAUAUUCUUCUCCCUGAAACAGCAAAUGCAUGCUACUACUGGGGUCAUAUUUGCCUUCUUUUGGAUUCAGAGCUUAAUAAAAUUUCCAACUCAUUAGUUUUACAUGUUGCUUUUGCACAGCUCCUUGAGGCCAAGUGGUACCUGAGAUAUUGGAGGUUGAAGGACUUUGCCUUCGACUAUAAAAUUUUCCAUCUUCAAAGCAAAGCCUCAAAGCAAACAGAAAUCCAACCCAGGCACAACUGGAGAAACGGGAUCUGGGGGCGAAAUCCCAUUACUUGAUGUGCUUCAAUAGUCAAUGAGAAUCUGUUGGGUGGGGACCAAGUGCUGGGCCUUGAGCUGGAAGCGUGGGUUACAGAGAUGAACAAGCUGGACAUUGGGUUUCUCACAUGGAGUUUAUGGCCUUGGGAGAGGCAGGCAGAGAUGAAAGAAAAUAACACAAAUUGAUGCAUAAUUGCAAGCUAUGACAGGCCAUGUAGGAGAGGCACCUCGGUGUCGUGAAGGCGAAUAAGCUCAGGCAACAGCCUGAGGGUCAGGAACAGCUUCUCCAAGGGGGCACCUUCCCCUGAGAUCUGAAGAGGAGAUGCCCACCUGAGACUUUUCCAUCUGACACUUGACCAUCUCAGACCUGUGCACCUGAGGCCCUCCAGACCAGAGAAGGCCACCUGCAGGAGUAAGCGUCUCACCCUGGAGCAGCGAUCAGCAUGGAGAAAAGUGGAGGAUGUGAGGAGGAGGUGCCUGGCUUCUCCCCAGGACACCUUCUUGGCCAUUCCUAAGAGACCACUCCUUCCAGUGUGUUCUAGGAGCCUGGGGAACACAUCUCCAUCAGAGUCAGCUUAUCAUGCUCUUCUGACCUGUCUGCCUCCCCAACAAGACUCCGGAGUCCUCCAGGGACAGUGUUUUUCCAUCUAUUUUGUGCCCAGUCCCUGGAAUCUACAUGAUAAGCAUGCACUAAAUAUUUAUUAAAGGAAUAAAUACAUAGACCUUAUUAAUUUA